rnacentral:rRNA from 1 species
UACAGAGGUCUCGAGCGUUGUUCGGAAUUACUGGGCGUAAAGCGUGCGUAGGUGGUUUGUUAAGUCUGUUGUGAAAGCCCCGGGCUCAACCUGGGAAUGGCAAUGGAUACUGGCAAGCUAGAGUGCGGUAGAGGGUAGUGGAAUUCCCGGUGUAGCGGUGAAAUGCGUAGAGAUCGGGAGGAACACCAGUGGCGAAGGCGGCUACCUGGACCAGCACUGACACUGAGGCACGAAAGCGUGGGGAGCAAACAGG